UACGGAGGGUGCAAGCGUUAUCCGGAUUCACUGGGUUUAAAGGGCGCGUAGGCGGGUGUGCAAGUCUGUGGUGAAAGCCUCCAGCUUAACUGGAGAAGUGCCAUGGAUACUGCACAUCUUGAGGAGGGUAGGGGCAUCUGGAACGGUCGGUGGAGCGGUGAAAUGCGUUGAUAUCGACCGGAACUCCGGUGGCGAAGGCGAGGUGCUGGACCCUUUCUGACGCUGAGGCGCGAAAGCCAGGGGAGCAAACGGG
rnacentral:rRNA from 1 species